GAACAGGGUUAACUCAAUAUCCUAUUAAGGUUAAUCCUGAUGACUAUCUGCCCAGUGUGAUGACCUGCGCGAACUACCUCAAACUACCCGACUAUUCAUCCAGAGAAAUCAUGAACGAUAAACUGAGGUUGGCAGCUGCUGAGGGACAAUACUAUUUCCAUCUUUCAUAGGACAUCAGACAGGACAAACUGUUCUAUAGAGAGGACAACACGUUCUAUAGAGCUAGGACAACCUGUACUAUCGAGGGAAAUGUGAGGACAAGCUAUCUAAUUGUCCUAGAGAUGACAAGCUGCCUUUUCUAAAGGACUACUUGUAAUAUCCAGUGGAUAUCAAGAGAACCUUUGUCUUAUCUGGAGAACAAAUUGUCUUGUCUUGAGAACAAAUUGUCAUAUCUGAAAGACAAAUGGUCAUAUCUAUAGGACAAAUUGUCAUAUCCAAAGGACUCAAGUAUCCUCAUUUUAAAACCAGAGCCCCGAAAAAGAAUCCUAAAUUUAGGACUUUUUUAAUCGAUAGUUUAUAUAUCGCCGAUUUUAUGAAAAUUCUCUCUUAAGCCCUAAUUAGAAAAUUGAGAUUGUUGGAUGAAUAUGUUUAUAUGUAAUACAUAUGCUUCAUUUGUGUAUUAAUAUUGUCGCUGUAAAUCAACCGCCAUUUUCCAAAG